rfam:Helianthus annuus linkage group 1, whole genome shotgun sequence.
ACGACUUUACUUGAACAGGAUCUGUUCUAUAGGCUUGUAUCUCUGUAUUUUUUACUCCUAAGAAGGCAGAAAUCCAUGUCUGGUUGAUGAGCCAUAAUCAUGGAACCAGAGCGUGAUUAACAGAGCCCUAUGGUCUUGACCAAGGCUCGGUAGAGGAUCGUUGCCAGCCCAUCUGAUGGGUCAUGGCAUGGUUCCAUAGUUGUCUGACAGACA